GCCUCCUUAGCUCAGUUGGUAGAGCGCGUCACUCGUAUUAAUCAGAAUAUUGGUUGAAAUGUAUGACGAGGUCAGUCGUUCGACUCGGCUAGUGGGCA